CUCGCAAAGCAUUUCCGUUUAUUAACACAUUCGCCUCUAAACGGGUAGUUGCAUUCGCAGACAAGUACCUCUAUGGACUAUGGCGAAUUCGACGAAGCCAAAGAUCAUAUAUUUUUAUGAGUCCUUUCUCCUUCAAAACGUGGCCUUAAGUUGGUGGUCCUCUACUAAGCUCGCAUCUCACUCCUGAUUGGAUGCAUAUGCAACCCCACCUCGUCAAUGGCACUAUCAAAAUUCUCAGCUUCUAUCUCUUAUGUUUGUUGUGAGCGAUAGUGUAAUGACUAUAUUCAAUUUUUACCGUACGAAACAGUAAACCGUCAGCUCUAGUGAUCGACAAAAUAACAGAUCGGGUCUCCUCGCACCUAUAUUUUAAUAUGACUUGUCUUCACGACCU